AGAGUUUGAUCCUGGCUCAGAGCGAACGCUUGGCGGCAGGCUUAACACAUUGCAAAGUCGAAACGCCCGUAGCAAUACGGGAGUGGCAGAACGGGAGAGUAACACGUGGGAACGUGCCCUUCAGUUCGGAAACAACCAAGGGAAAACUUUUGGCUAAUACCGGAUACGUCCGUAAGGAGAAAGAUUUAUCGCUGAAGGAUCGGCCCGCGUCUGAUUAGCUAGUUGGUGAGGUAACGGCUCACCAAGGCGACGAUCAGUAGCUGGUCUGAGAGGAUGAUCAGCCUCACUGGGACUGAGACACGGCCCAGACUCCUACGGGAGGCAGCAGUGGGGAAUCUUGGACAAUGGGCGCAAGCCUGAUCCAGCCAUGCCGCGUGGGUGAUGAAGGCCCUAGGGUUGUAAAGCCCUUUCGGCGGGGAAGAUAAUGACGGUACCCGCAGAAGAAGCCCCGGCUAACUUCGUGCCAGCAGCCGCGGUAAUACGAAGGGGGCUAGCGUUGCUCGGAAUCACUGGGCGUAAAGCGCACGUAGGCGGCUUUUUAAGUCAGGGGUGAAAUCCUGGAGCUCAACUCCAGAACUGCCUUUGAUACUGAGAAGCUUGAGUCCGGGAGAGGUGAGUGGAACUGCGAGUGUAGAGGUGAAAUUCGUAGAUAUUCGCAAGAACACCAGUGGCGAAGGCGGCUCACUGGCCCGGUACUGACGCUGAGGUGCGAAAGCGUGGGGAGCAAACAGGAUUAGAUACCCCUGUAGUCC
rnacentral:rRNA from 1 species